CUUCAUCCAUAGGUUCCGCUUCAUCUAGCUUAGCAGCUGCAUCUUCUAAGCUAAAUGAACCUGAAGCUAUGGAUGAAG
rnacentral:pre_miRNA from 1 species